rnacentral:rRNA from 1 species
GUGGGGAAUAUUGGGCAAUGGGGGAAACCCUGACCCAGCAACGCCGCGUGAGGGAAGAAGGUUUUCGGAUUGUAAACCUCUGUCCUUGGUGACGAAGGAAGUGACGGUAACCAAGGAGGAAGCCCCGGCUAACUACGUGCCAGCAGCCGCGGUAAUACGUAGGGGGCAAGUGUUGUCCGGAAUGACUGGGCGUAAAGGGCGUGUAGGCGGCCGAUUAAGUCUGGAGUGAAAGUCCUGCUUUCAAGGUGGGAAUUGCUUUGGAGACUGGUUGGCUUGAGUGCGGAAGAGGUAAGUGGAAUUCCCAGUGUAGCGGUGAAAUGCGUAGAGAUUGGGAGGAACACCAGUGGCGAAGGCGACUUACUGGGCCGUAACUGACGCUGAGGCGCGAAAGCGUGGGGAGCGAACAGGAUUAGAAACCCCGGUAGUCC